rnacentral:rRNA from 1 species
GAUGAACGCUGGCGGCGUGCCUCAAACAUGCAAGUCGAGCGGGGCUAUGUAAUAUCGCAAGGUAGAACAUAGCCUAGCGGCGAACGGGUGAGUAACACGUGGGUAACCUGCCUGGAAGACAGGGAUAACGAUUCGAAAGGGUCGCUAAUACCUGAUAAUAUCCUUUCAUCGCAUGGUGAUAGGAAGAAAGGGGAAACCCGCUUUCAGAUGGGCCCGCGUCCCAUCAGCUAGUUGGUAAGGUAAAGGCUUACCAAGGCGACGACGGGUAGCCGGUCUGAGAGGAUGUACGGCCACACUGGGACUGAGAUACGGCCCAGACUCCUACGGGAGGCAGCAGUUGGGAAUCUUAGGCAAUGGACGAAAGUCUGACCUAGCGACGCCGCGUGAGGGAAGAAGGCCUUCGGGUUGUAAACCUCUGUCAUGGGGAAGAAGGAAGUGACGGUACCCCAAGAGGAAGCCCCUGCUAACUACGUGCCAGCAGCCGCGGUAAGAUAGCGUACU